UUUCCCUACGGGAGGCAGCAGUGGGGGAUAUUGCACAAUGGGGGAAACCCUGAUGCAGCGACGCCGCGUGGGCGAAGAAGUAUUUCGGUAUGUAAAGCCCUAUCAGCAGGGAAGAAGAAAUGACGGUACCUGAGUAGGAAGCACCGGCUAAAUACGUGCCAGCAGCCGCGGUAAUACGUAUGGUGCAAGCGUUAUCCGGAUUUACUGGGUGUAAAGGGAGCGCAGGCGGCACGGCAAGCCAGAUGUGAAAUCCCAAGGCUCAACCUUGGAACUGCAUUUGAAACUGUUGGUCUUGAGUAUCGGAG
rnacentral:rRNA from 1 species